rnacentral:rRNA from 1 species
AAUGAACGCUGGCGGCAGGCCUAACACAUGCAAGUCGAACGGGACCUUCGGGUCUAGUGACGGACGGGUGAGUAACGCGUGGGAACGUGCCCUUUUCUACGGAAUAGCCUCGGGAAACUGGGAGUAAUACCGUAUAAGCUCGAGAGAGGAAAGAUUUAUCGGGAAAGGAUCGGCCCGCGUUGGAUUAGGUAGUUGGUGGGGUAAUGGCCUACCAAGCCGACGAUCCAUAGCUGGGUUGAGAGGAUGAUCAGCCACACUGGGACUGAGACACGGCCCAGACUCCUACGGGAGGCAGCAGUGGGGAAUCUUAGACAAUGGGGGAAACCCUGAUCUAGCCAUGCCGCGUGAUCGAUGAAGGCCUUAGGGUUGUAAAGAUCUUUCAGAUGGGAAGAUAAUGACGGUACCAUCAGAAGAAGCCCCGGCUAACUCCGUGCCAGCCGCCGCCGUAA